UACGUAGGUGGCAAGCGUUGUCCGGAAUCAUUGGGCGUAAAGCGCGCGCAGGCGGUUCCUUAAGUCUGAUGUGAAAGCCCACGGCUCAACCGUGGAGGGUCAUUGGAAACUGGGGAACUUGAGUACAGAAGAGGAGACUGGAAUUCCUGGUGUAGCGGUGAAAUGCGUAGAUAUGUGGAGGAACACCAGUGGCGAAGGCGGCUCUCUGGUCUGUAACUGACGCUGAGGCGCGAAAGCGUGGGGAGCGAACAGG
rnacentral:misc_RNA from 1 species